AAAAAAUUAGAUAAAUAAAUAAACAUUUAUUAAAAAAGUCCAUUGAAAGUCCAGGCCUACUGUUGCUACCCAAAGCCCAAAUACAAAAACCCAUAUCCGGGUAUAACCCAAUAGCCGGAACAAUACCUAAUACCCUUAAGCUAAACCCAAACCCAAAUAAGGCCCGUUACACCCAGCAGUCCGUCAGACUCAUUAUCCCUGCUAGCCUAAGUCAGACCUAACCCAUUACAUUACAGACCUUGACCCAAAACAAAACAGCCCAAAAGGCCCAAUAGACUUAAGAGAAACAGGGAAACCCUAGGGUUUCCGAAUACUGUGGCGCCGCAAACAUUUCUGGAAGCUUCGGGGAGUGUCUGGCAACCCCCAAAUCGAGGCCACCGUUUAAUGAGUUGUCCCAAGGGGCUUCAAUGCUCAUCAACGCCCCGAUCCUCGGUCGUCCCUUGGUCUGGCCCCAAAUUACGUUAUGAAUGUCAUGACCAUCACCAAGGCUCCAUCAGCGCCGUGAUCAGUGCACGCGUCUACACCAGCAUGGUCACUGCCAGAUCCCUCGCUCGAUUGCCUGCAAGAAAAGGAAACAAACAGCAGAUACGCGAAAAAGCAGAGUAGAAAAUGGCAAGGAAAUCACAGCACAUCAGUCAAAGAUACAAGAAAUCAGAGAUUUCUUUCCUUAUGUAACAAAUCAGUAGGCUAUAAAAAAAGCCUUUGUAACCCUUGUAACGAUUACACAGAUACAGAAAUAAAGAAACGAAUACAAAUAGUUUCAAAGGUGAUAACUGAGUGACUUGUUCUCUAUUUUUUUUAGCCCAUAUAUAUGAACUGUUUAGCAAAAUACUAAGGGUAUUUGAAAAGAAGAAGAACUACCUGUUUUGGAUCUAAAGGAAUGAGGAUUUUUAAACCCUCCGAUCUUCGUAUACAGUGGCCCUUAGGGCGGCGCGUGGGCGCGUGGACCGGCACGUGGCGUACGAAGGCCAGAACCGGAGCUCCCUUCCUCUCUCUCUUUCAGAGAGAAUUUUUUAGUUUUUUUUUUAAAAAAUCGGGGUUCAAAUGAAUCUUAAGCUGAGAAGGUAGCUUAUAUAGCUUGAACGAAACGGCGUCGUUUUGCGACCCCCAGGAUCCGCGUGUUGACCCGAUUACCUGGGGAGGAUCCGCGCAUUUUUUAAAAUUGGGUUAAUUUCCCAAUCGGUCCUUCUACCCCUUUUGUGUUUACAAUUAAACUAUUUUAUUUAUGAUUUGGCCCUAUUAUUUUAUUUUAGUUUUAAUUUGACCCUGACAGUUGUUAAAUUAUAUUCUGAGAAACGUGGCCGUUUUAAGAAUAGGGCAUUUUGCCCAGUGAGUCCCUCUAAUUUUACGCGCGUUUUAAAUAGGGCCUCAAUUCAGUUUUGUUUCUUUGAAAUUCGCCCUGUAAUUUUGCUGAAUUUUAAAUUUAGUCCUAUAUUUAUUCUAUAUAUAUAUCUAUUUUAUAUAUUGAUAUUUAUUUUUAUCCUUAUUAUUUAUAUUAUAUACUAUAAGAUUAUUUUAUUAUACAUAUAUUAUUAUUCUUCAUAUUACCUAUUAUUUUUCAAAUUAUUUUACAUCAUUAUUUUUUAUAUUAUUAUAUUUUUACUUGUAUUAUAUGUUAAUUAUUUAUACAUAUAAACUUUCAUUAUUUUAUAUUAUAUCUAUUAUAUAUCUUAUUUCCUAUAUAUUUAAAUUAUAUUUUAUAACAUUUAUUUUAUUUUAUUUUUAUUCUAUAUUUUUUAUAUAUAUGUUAUGUGUAUCAUAUAUUAUCUAUUAUAUUAUUCAUUAAGAUUUGUAAAUUAAAUUACAUUUUAAACUCAUAUUAUAUAUAUUAAAUUAUUAAUUAUGUAUUAUUUUAUUUUAAAAUGAUGUUUUGUGAUAUGUAUUAUUUUAUAAAUCCUUUUACCUACUUUUAUUUUAUAUAUAUUUUUAUAUAAUUAUUAUUCUCUUAUAAAUAUUUUGUUAUUAUAUUUUAUAUAUUAUGUAGCAAAUACUAUUUUAAAAUUAUUAUUAAAAUUUAGGUCUUUAUUUGUGUUAUGUGUAUACUUUGUUGACAAUAAUUUAUUCCAUUGUUUUUAUAUUGCAUAUAUCAUGCGUUAUUUUAUAUUUAUUAUUUGAUAUUACAUUUCAUGAGCAUAUACAAUGAUAUUAUAUUACUCUUUUGUAUGCCAUACAUUAUUUAAUUAUUGCUUUCUUAUAUAUAACGUGCAUUAUUUAAUUAUCACUUUGUAUGUUUGUAUAUCUUGUUUAUUCAUUCUCAAUACAUGCUAUAUAUAUAUCUAUGUAUGCAUAUUGUUACUAUUUGCUUUAUAUGUAUUAUUUUAUAUGUAUAUAUCUAAUGCACGAUCUUUAUAUCAUAGUAUUCAUUUUUAAAUGCACGUAUUAUUUACCUACUACAAUAAUAUGUUACUAUGUAUGAUUUAUAAUGCAAUAUAAUUCCUCACACAUCACCAUUUUUUUAAAAAAAGAGCUCCAAGGUUUUCAAAAAAAUAUAAAGGCAAUGCUUGAUGUUUGGAAAUUUCGGGAAAGUAGUGCCCUAACUUAUCGGUUUGCGACUCUUCUCGUUGAGUUCGAAUAAUCAAAUACCCUUUUAAGUUUUUAAAGGUUUUCAAAAUGUAAGUGACUGUCUUGGAAUUUCAAAGAAAUAUGACCAAACUUACUGGAUGUGGCGUUUUGUUGUUUCAAGAUAGGGAUUUUCGAAAGGCUAACUCAAUGUCAAUAUUUUACGAGUGAGUUCCAAUUUUCAAAAUCCAAAAUAUUUCAAAGAGGAUUGCGUCUUAAAAUUUCUAAUUUCCGACCUUAAAGACAUUUGAUAAUCAAUUUGGUACCAAUUUUUGGGCGUUACGAGGGUGCUAACCCUUCCUCGUACGUAACCGACUCCCGAACUCGUUCUUUUGAUUUCGUAGACCAAAACCGAUGAUUUUAAAAUAAAAUUGAUCUAAAGGUGAUCCAAUCACACCUAAAAAGCUUGGUGGCGACUCCCGUUUUCAUUUUUUUAAAGUCGAUUCCCAUUUUCUAAAACUCGAUUUGAAAAUGAUUUCGACAGCUUGGCGACUCCACUGCGGACUAAUAAGAGAGUCAAGCCGUGUAAUUGAUUAUCUCUUGUCUUAAUGUCGGAAAUUAAAAAUUUUAAAAUUUAAUUUUCUUUGCAUUACAUGUGUUUGUGUUAUUGCAUGUGUUGCUAUAUUCUAAUACGCAUUGCAUUUGCAUGACCGUUGUGGUCACACCCUUAAGUGGGAGUGAGAAGCUACGCCUUCGUGAGGUUUUCGCCUCCGUGCAGGAUAGUGGAUCACUUUUGGGAUACAUCCGUACCUAUGGUUUCGUGAGAUUUUCAUCUCCGUGUAGCCAUAGGGAAAUGUGUCCCCCUGAACUGAACUCGAUUCAAAUGAGCCUAUAAUGGGUGAGGAUCGAGGAAUCUGCUGGUUCAGGUACCUCAACUUUAGAACUAAACCACAUAUAGAAGGACCGUAAGAGCUCAACCUAGAUAGAAUUAUACCGUAAUUAUUACCCUUACAGGUUAUCUUUGAGUUUAUUGUUAUCAUGUGAUACUAACUAUCUCUUUUCUUUUGUUGCAUAUCAUUUCGCAUUUAAAAGGUAUCAAUUCGCGGUCAG
rnacentral:lncRNA from 1 species